GAACAGGGUUCUCUUACAGCACAGGGUCUCUUACAGCACAGGGUUCUCUUACAGCACAGGGGUCUCUUACAGCACAGGGUUCUCUUACAGCACAGGGUCUCUUACAGCACAGGGUCUCUUACAGCACAGGGUCUCUUACAGCACAGGGUUCUCUUACAGCACAGGGGUCUCUUACAGCACAGGCUUCUCUUACAGCACUGUUAGUGAAUUUCCUAAAAGUCAGAAUGACCAAAUAAAUAAAUGUAAAUUAAUA